rnacentral:rRNA from 1 species
AUGAGACGAGAUGUUGAGCGUUUUGUGGCUCGCUGCACUACAUGUCAAAAAGCUAAGUCACGACUCAAUCCUCAUGGUUUAUAUAUGCCUUUGCAUGUACCUACUGUUCCUUGGGAGGAUAUAUCUAUGGACUUUGUUUUAGGUUUACCUCGAACAAAGAAGGGGAGGGAUAGCAUAUUUGUUGUCGUGGAUAGAUUUUUGAAAAUGGCACAUUUUAAACCAUGUCAUAAAAGCGAUGACGCUAUUAAUGUUGCUGAUUUGUUCUUCCGUGAAAUUAUUCGCUUGCAUGGUGUGCCAAAUACUAUUAUUUCAGAUCGUGAUACUAAAUUUCUUAGCCACUUUUGGAGAUGUUUAUGGGCUAAGUUGGGGAUUAAACUGUUUUUUAGUACUACUGGUCACCCCCAAACUGAUGGACAAACUGAAUUAGUCAAUAGAACAUUGUCUACUAUGCUUAGGGUUGUUUUGAAUAAUAAUAAGAAAAUGUGA